rnacentral:rRNA from 1 species
AACGAACGCUGGCGGCAUGCCUAACACAUGCAAGUCGAACGAGACCUUCGGGUCUAGUGGCGCACGGGUGCGUAACGCGUGGGAACCUGCCCUUAGGUUCGGAAUAACUCCCCGAAAGGGGUGCUAAUACCGGAUAAUGUCUUCGUACCAAAGAUUUAUCGCCUUUGGAUGGGCCCGCGUUGGAUUAGCUAGUUGGUAGGGUAAAAGCCUACCAAGGCGACGAUCCAUAGCUGGUCUGAGAGGAUGAUCAGCCACACUGGGACUGAGACACGGCCCAGACUCCUAGGGGGGGCAGGGGGGGGGAAUAUUGGAAAAGGGGCGAAAGCCGAAUCCAGCAGUGCCGGGGGAGUGAGGAAGGCCUUGGGGUUGAAAAGCUUUUUUACCCGGGAUGAUAAUGACAGUACCGGGAAAAAAAGCUCCGGCUACCCCCGUG